GCCUCUUGAUUAAACAUAAGAGGUCCAGCCUGCCCAGUGACAUAGUUUAACGGCCGCGGUACCCUAACCGUGCGAAGGUAGCAUAAUCACUUGUUCUUUAAAUAGGGACUCGUAUCAACGGCAUCACGAGGGCUAUACUGUCUCCUUUCUCCAAUCAAUGAAACUGAUCUCCCCGUGAAGAAGCGGGGAUUAACCUAUAAGACGAGAAGACCCCAUGGAGCUUCAAACUCAACAUAUACCUCUACGCACUUAAACCACUUUAGCCCAAGAGACCUCUAUGUUAGUUUUGGGUUGGGGGGACCGCGGAGUAAAAAUUAACCUCCACGACAAACGGGCUUUAUGCCCUUAUCCACGAACCACAGCUCUAAGAAUCAAUAAACUGAUGUUUAUGACCCGAUUAUUCGAUCAACGAACCAAGUUACCCUGGGGAUAACAGCGCAAUCUACUUCAAGAGCCCCUAUCGACAAGUAGGUUUACGACCUCGAUGUUGGAUCAGGGUAUCCUAGUGGUGCAGCCGCUACUAAUGGUUCGUUUGUUCAACGAUUAAAACCCUACGUG
rnacentral:rRNA from 1 species